UACGAAGGGGGCUAGCGUUGUUCGGAAUUACUGGGCGUAAAGCGCGCGCAGGCGGUCCUUCAAGUCAGAGGUGAAAGCCCAGAGCUCAACUCUGGAACGGCCUUUGAGACUAGAGGACUUGGGUACGGGAGAGGUGAGUGGAAUUCCGAGUGUAGAGGUGAAAUUCGUAGAUAUCGGGAGGAACACCAGUGGCGAAGGCGGCGAUCUGGGAAGAUACUGACGCUGAGGUGCGAAAGCGUGGGGAGCAAACAGG
rnacentral:rRNA from 1 species